UACGGGGGGGGCAAGCGUUGUUCGGAAUUACUGGGCGUAAAGGGCUCGUAGGCGGCCAACUAAGUCAGACGUGAAAUCCCCAGGCUCAACCUGGGAACUGCGUCUGAUACUGGAUGGCUUGAAUCCGGGAGAGGGAUGCAGAAUUCCAGGUGUAGCGGUGAAAUGCGUAGAUAUUGGGAGGAACACCAGUGGCGAAGGCGGCUCACUGGACCGGUACUGACGCUGAGGCGCGAAAGCGUGGGGAGCAAACGGG
rnacentral:rRNA from 1 species